GGGACCAAGGCACUUGAAAGUUAUUUCUGGGGCUGGAGAGAUGGCUCAGUGGUUAAGUGCAUACGCUGUUCUUCCAGAGGACCAGAGUUCAGUUCCCAGCUCCACAUCAGAUGGUUCACAACUAUCUGUAACUCCAGCCCCAGAGGAUCCAGCAGUCUUGGCUCCAUUUGUAUCUGCACUCAUGCACAGACCCACACAGAUGCAUACUGUGGUGGUUUGUAUAUGUUUGGCCCAGGGAGGGGCACUAACCUCACAAUUCAGCAAGGGCGGUUCAAUCCAGAAGCAACCCCAAGGUCUGCCAAUCAGCCCGAGUCCUCUGAAGCAGCAAGAAGCUGGUGAAUUUCUCUCUAUGAAGGAUGAAGGCUGGUGCCAGGCAAGGAGAUGCUCACCUGAUGCCAGCAGAAGAGAAGCUCACCUCCUAGAAAGAGGUUGCAUCCAGUUCUAUUCUGCAAUUUGUCAGACCACCUCACAAGACAAUUUUAUGCUAAGACAAUAAUAGGUCAAUGAUGGGUGGAAUCACAUCUUGGCCUGGACGGGUUAGCCAUCCAUACAUACUACCUCUUGCAUUCUAUUUGAAACUAAGUCUCAUGCCAGGACUCCAGAGAUUAGCUCGGGGUGAGCCGCUGAAUCUUUUUGUUCCUCUUCCCUGUGUAUCCACAUUGAGCAGAUCUCCUUUUUCUGUUUUCAACUGUUUAUUGUGCCUUUCAGUGGCCUAAUGAGGACGCAUGGUUGAGCCCAGCGUGUUAAGGCUUCCAGGAAGCAGGCUCUGAGUCCAACAGCUGCAGAAACCCACAGAAGGACCAGCUGUCUCAAGUGGCCCCCUCACAAGCAUCUCUCCUGUGCAUUUCUUAA
rnacentral:lncRNA from 1 species